rnacentral:rRNA from 1 species
CCAAUUGUAGAAGAUGAUGAAGCAAAUGAUGAAGUUCAGUUUGAAGUAGAUUUGGAAGCACUUGAGUCUGAUCCUGGGAAACGGAUGCCCAUCUCUAGGUACAAUGUCAAUGACCAGGAUAAAGUUAGAAGGAGAUACAUCGAGUUGGGGGCAUGUCAACCAAAGAAACAUAAUUUUGAGUAUAGAGAUAUAAGUGGAUUACAGCGUCGCUUUUCUCCUUCUUGGUUUAAGGAUUACAAGUGGCUUGAGUAUAGUGUGGACAAAGAAGCCGCUUUCUGCUUCGUUUGCUUUUUGUUCAAGGAUAAAAAAAGAUGUCCCGGUGGAGAUGAUUUUGUGAAGAAGGGAUUUAAUAACUGGAACAUGAAGUCGAGAUUGAAGAAACAUGAAGGUGAGGUUUGUAGUGCUCAUGCUGAAGCUCAAGAGAAGUAAGAUAGGUUCACUACACCACAAACAUCAAUUCGGGAGUCUAUUGCUUCAAACACCUCACAAUACAAGGCUUUGUACAAACAACGUUUGACAUGGACACUCAAGUGUGUGAGAUUUUUGUUGCGCCAAGGCUUCGCAUUUAGAGGACAUGAUGAAAGUGAAGACUCACUAAAUAAAGGAAAUUUCCUUGAGCUUCUAAAUUGGCUAGCAGGAAAUUUUGAAGAGGUUGACAGGGUUGUUCUCAAGAAUGCUCCACGGAACUGCAGGAUGACUCACCAUGAUAUACAGCAAGAGGUGAUAAAAUGUUGUGCACAAGAGACUACUAAACUAGUCAUUGAGGAACUUGAUGGUGGUCAUUUUGCAAUACUUGCAGAUGAGUCUAGUGAUGUUUAUCAGAAUGAACAGUUGGCUGUUUGCUUGCGUUAUGUUGAUAAGAAAGGAAGGGCGGUUGUAAGAUUUCUUGGUCUUGCUCACGUUGAAGAUACUACCUCUUUGACACUAAAAGCUGCAAUUCAGAAAAUGCUUAUGGACUACAAUUUGACCUUUGCAAUGGUUCGUGGGCAAGGAUAUGAUGGAGCUAGUAACAUGAGAGGUAAUGCUAAUGGCCUGAAAAAACUGAUUAUGGAUGAGUCCCCUUCUGCCUACUAUGUUCAUUGUUUUGCCCAUCAACUACAGUUAACUCUUGUUGCUGUUGCUAAGGAGAGUGGUGAUUGUACUUGGUUCUUUCAGCAGCUUGCACACUUGUUAAAUGCUCUUGGCAUGUCUUGUAAAAAUAUGAGAAUGCUUCGGAUAGCUCAGGCUUAAGAACUCAUUGAUGCAUUGGAAUUGGAAGAAGUAGAAACAGGGAGUGGGCUGAAUCAGGAAAUGGGUUUGGGAAGGCCAUGUGAUACACGUUGGAGCUCUCACUUCAAAACUGUGAACCGUGUCAUCUCUAUGUAUGGUACACUACGACGAGUCCUUCGCAAGAUUGGAGAUGAGUACCAUGGUGCGGAGGCACAAGCAGCUCUAUCCAUAGAGAAAAUAUUUCGAUCAUUUGAGUUUGUUUUCAUGGCACACUUGAUGCCAGAAAUAUUUGGAUACACAGAUGAGUUGUGUAGAGCUUUGCAAAAGCAAGACGAAGAUAUUGUUCAUGCUAUUGAGCUUGUUGGUGACACAAAGUAUUACUUGGAGGCUUUGAGGACCGAUGCUGGAUGGGAUGAUUUUCUCACAAAGGUCACAUCUUUUUGUACAAAGCAUAAGAUCAAAGUUGUUGAUAUGGAGGGUCCUUACUUUUCCGUUGGCCGGCCUAGAAGGGGUUUAUGUAAUGGUGUGAGCAAUUACCACCGCUUCAAGGUUGAUAUGUUUGUGGGUGUCAUUGAUAGGCAAAUCAGUGAGCUGAAUGGCAGAUUCGAUGAGGUAAACACGGAGCUACUUUCUUGCAUGGCAGCAUUCUGUCCACUUCAUCUAUUUGCUGCUUAUGACCAAGAGAAGUUGGUUAGGCUUGCUACAAAGUUUUAUGCUUCUGAUUUUACAAGUGAUGAACUGGCAAGACUUCCAUGGCAACUAAACAUGUAUGUUACUAAUGUGCGUAGAGAUGAAAGGUUUCAAAAUCUAAAAAAUCUGUGUCAGCUUUCAGUUAUGCUUGCUGAGACAAACAAGCAUGAACAAUAUCAUAUUGUUUACAAGCUUCUUAAGUUGGUAUUGAUUCUGCCAGUAGCUACUGCUAGUGUUGAAAGGGUAUUCUCUUCAAUGAGCUAUGUGAAUAAUAAGCUAAGGAACAAAAUUUGUGAUGAAUAUUUGAACAAUUGCUUGGUUACAUUUGUUGAGAGAGAAUUUUUCGAUCAAGUGAAGGAUGAAGAUGUCAUCAAUCUCUUCCAAAAAGGCGACCGCAAAGUUAUAUUGUAA